rnacentral:rRNA from 1 species
UACGAAGGGGGCUAGCGUUGCUCGGAAUCACUGGGCGUAAAGAGCUCGUAGGCGGCUCGGUAAGUCAGGUGUGAAACCUCCAGGCUCAACCUGGAGACGCCACCUGAUACUGCUGUGGCUAGAGUCCGGUAGGGGAGCGUGGAAUUCCUGGUGUAGCGGUGAAAUGCGCAGAUAUCAGGAGGAACACCAGCGGCGAAGGCGGCGCUCUGGGCCGGAACUGACGCUGAGGAGCGAAAGCGUGGGUAGCAAACAGG